GAUGAACGCUGGCGGCGUGCCUAAUACAUGCAAGUCGAGCGAACAGAUAAGGAGCUUGCUCCUUUGACGUUAGCGGCGGACGGGUGAGUAACACGUGGGUAACCUACCUAUAAGACUGGGAUAACUUCGGGAAACCGGAGCUAAUACCGGAUAACAUUUGGAACCGCAUGGUUCUAAAGUGAAAGAUGGUUUUGCUAUCACUUAUAGAUGGACCCGCGCCGUAUUAGCUAGUUGGUAAGGUAACGGCUUACCAAGGCGACGAUACGUAGCCGACCUGAGAGGGUGAUCGGCCACACUGGAACGGAGACACGGUCCAGACUCCUACGGGCGGCAGCAGUAGGGAAUCUUCCGCAAUGGGCGAAAGCCUGACGGAGCAACGCCGCGUGAGUGAUGAAGGGUUUCGGCUCGUAAAACUCUGUUAUUAGGGAAGAACAAAUGUGUAAGUAACUGUGCACGUCUUGACGGUACCUAAUCAGAAAGCCACGGCUAACUACGUG
rnacentral:rRNA from 1 species